UACGUAGGGGGCAAGCGUUGUCCGGAAUCAUUGGGCGUAAAGCGCGUGUAGGCGGCCUUGUAAGUCCGUUCUGAAAGUCCGGGGCUCAGCCCCGGGAGGCGGAUGGAUACUGCAAGGCUCGAGUCCGGAAGAGGCGAGUGGAAUUCCCGGUGUAGCGGUGAAAUGCGCAGAUAUCGGGAGGAACACCAAUGGCGAAGGCAGCUCGCUGGGACGGUACUGACGCUGAGACGCGAAAGCGUGGGGAGCAAACAGG
rnacentral:rRNA from 1 species